UUUGACCUGAGAUAAGAUUAAGCUCUAACUAAACUGUAAAAAGCCUUAGUUAAAAUAAAAAUACAAAACGAAAGUAAUCUUAUAACCCCUGAAUUCACGACAGCUAAGACCCAAACUGGGAUUAGAUACCCCACUAUGCUUAGCCCUAAACAUAAAUAUUCAAUUAACAAGAAUAUUCGCCAGAGAACUACUAGCCACUGCUUAAAACUCAAAGGACUUGGCGGUGCUUUAUACCCCUCUAGAGGAGCCUGUUCUAUAAUCGAUAAACCCCGUUAAACCUCACCACUCUUUGCAACGUCAGCCUAUAUACCGCCAUCUUCAGCAAACCCUAACAAGGCACCAUAGUAAGCACAAUAAUUUUACAUAAAAACGUUAGGUCAAGGUGUAGCCCAUAGAGUGGGAAGAAAUGGGCUACAUUUUCUAACGCUCUAGAAUAUUUCACGAUAGCUGCUAUGAAAUAUGAUCAGCUCAAGGCGGAUUUAGUAGUAAGUCGGGAAUAGAGUGCCCAGCUGAAUCGGGCAAUAAAGCACGCACACAUA
rnacentral:rRNA from 1 species